rnacentral:SRP_RNA from 1 species
GAUCGGGUCCUACGCGGCAGGAGCCUAUGAACCCCGUCAGGGCCGGAAGGCAGCAGCGGUAAAUAGAUACUUUUGGGUGCCGUAGGGUCGCCUGGUUGGA